UACGGAGGGGGGCUAGCGUUGUUCGGAAUUACUGGGCGUAAAGCGCACGUAGGCGGCUUUGUAAGUUAGAGGUGAAAGCCCGGGGCUCAACUCCGGAAUUGCCUUUAAGACUGCAUCGCUAGAAUUGUGGAGAGGUAAGUGGAAUUCCGAGUGUAGAGGUGAAAUUCGUAGAUAUCGGGAGGAACACCAGUGGCGAAGGCGGCGAUCUGGGUCGAUACUGACGCUGAGGUGCGAAAGCGUGGGGAGCAAACAGG
rnacentral:rRNA from 1 species